UUUAUGGAGAGUUUGAUCCUGGCUCAGGAUGAACGCUGGCGGCGUGCCUAAUACAUGCAAGUCGAGCGAACAGAUAAGGAGCUUGCUCCUUUGACGUUAGCGGCGGACGGGUGAGUAACACGUGGGUAACCUACCUAUAAGACUGGAAUAACUCCGGGAAACCGGGGCUAAUGCCGGAUAACAUGUUGAACCGCAUGGUUCUACAGUGAAAGACGGUCUUGCUGUCACUUAUAGAUGGACCCGCGCCGUAUUAGCUAGUUGGUGGGGUAACGGCCUACCAAGGCGACGAUACGUAGCCGACCUGAGAGGGUGAUCGGCCACACUGGAACUGAGACACGGUCCAGACUCCUACGGGAGGCAGCAGUAGGGAAUCUUCCGCAAUGGGCGAAAGCCUGACGGAGCAACGCCGCGUGAGUGAUGAAGGUCUUCGGAUCGUAAAGCUCUGUUGUUAGGGAAGAACAA
rnacentral:rRNA from 1 species